GCUUUUCUAGCCUAGUUGGUAGAGCAUGAGGCUCCUCACCUUGUGGUCCUGAGUUCAAGCCCCAUAUUUUGCG
rnacentral:tRNA from 7 species